UACUGCACUUUAUAUGCAGCUUUAGUGUCAGAUAUAAUGUGUGCCAUGCAGUCCAGAUGUUGGUGGAGUUUAUUUCUGUGUGUGUUGACCAGAGAAGAGAGUUAGCAUCCAGUAAAUAUUAGCUUUAAUGUUAGCGAUGCUAACCGAGGUAGCUGCUCAGUCGUAGCCUGAUUAAAGCUAACGUAGCAUUAAGCUAACGUAGCCUUAAGCUAACGAUGUUUGUGUUGUUUCAUGUAAACAGCUGAAGUGUGUUGUGUUACUGUAAUGUGGUACAUUUAGUUAAUAAAACUGUUCAUGGAGACGCUGGUUCACAUUAAUGUAACGUUUAGAAAACCUAAAUGGGAUUAAAACAGUGAGGUUACCGUUCUGUGUUGUCAGUAGUCGUGAAUAUCUGCUGAGUCUCUGAAGUUAAACUGGAGAAAACAGUAAAUCUGCUCUCUAGUCGUUAACGUUGUUUAAUGACUGAUUCACAUGUUGUAGUACAUUUUAGUGCAGAUUAAAAAAAUAACCUCCCAGAAUAUGUCCAAAGUAAUGAUGAACACUACAGUUAUUACAUUUAAAUUACAGCACAGAUAAACUGGAUAAUAAAAUCCUCUCCUCUAAAGCUAAAGUGACUGCAGGCCUUUCUGUCUUUCAGUGCUUGGAAAACUAUAUGAAACAGGAAAUCUUUCCAGGGUCACUAUAAAAUGAAUCUCUACUGUUGAUGCUGAUACUGUGACGUCUGUCUUCAUCUCAGGUGUCUCAUGUUCACUGUGAGGAUCUUCUGAGUGAAGCCAACAGAAGGAAAACCUCAUCUGGAUGUGAAGAAGGAGACUGAAUGGACGACAUCCUCAGUGAACCACUUCCUGUUUAACUUUCACUUACAGAAGAGUGAAAGUAGCAGUUCCUCCUGAAGGUCAGAGAUUGCAGCAACCGAGGGCCUCUUCAAAAGAAGAUGUAGUUGAUGAAGGCGUUCUGGAGCAGGACCAGAAAGACCACGACCAAGCAGCCUUGAGAUCUUAGACAGCGUCUCCCUCAGGUCCCUCUCUAUCUCCCCACACAUCCACCAACCACUGGAACACAUCUCCAAAGUUCUGCUGGACCAGCUCAGCUUCCCCUCAGAAGAAGUGCUGCCACCUGCCAGAUGAAGGAGCCUUUUGAGAGGCAGCUGGCAUCGUGAUUGGACUGUACUUUGGUCUGUUCCAAUCCAGCUUCAGCUCCAGAGACGGCAGGUGGGACGAGUCAACGGAGGCCGGAUGGACAAAGGCAUGAAGCUGAGUACAAUCCAGAAAACAACAGAGGAGGAGUGCAGCAGCCCAGAGCCAGAACAACCAGAGUAGCAUGACCAAAGAACUACAGACUCUUCACAACCUGCUCAAACUCUUGGUACAGGACCUCACCACACGGGUCAAGAAGGUUUCUGUCUCAUUUCUACUCUGAAGCUCACCUUCUCCUGCUCAAACUGCUGACAAAUGUUUCUGCUGCUCUAAAGUCUGGUCUCCAGAACUUCCUAAAAACUCUCCAAGUCUCCUCUGCUGCAGGUUGCUUUGUAGAACUGUUCCAGAAAACCUCACUAAACUACAUGGAGGGGCCUCAAGAUAGUCGUCCAAAUGAAACCGUACAAAAACCAAACUAGCACAACCCAAACGCUAAAGUCUCCUGCAGCCUACCAGAGAACCUCUGAGAACAGAGAAUCAGGACAGGAACUCUUAC